rnacentral:rRNA from 1 species
UACGAAGGGUCCAAGCGUUAUCCGGAUUUACUGGGCGUAGAGAGCGCGCAGGCGGUCGUUCAAGUCGCGUGUGAAAGCCCCCGGCUCAACUGGGGAGGGUCACGCGAUACUGAUCGACUCGAAGGCAGGAGAGGGAAGUGGAAUUCCCGGUGUAGUGGUGAAAUGCGUAGAUAUCGGGAGGAACACCAGUGGCGAAGGCGACUUCCUGGCCUGUUCUUGACGCUGAGGCGCGAAAGCUAGGGGAGCAAACGGG